AUCACCCUUUCUGUGAAGAAAUUCCUGUUAAUGUCCAACCUAAACGUCCCCCGGUGCACUUUAAGACUGUGUCCUUUAACCCUGUCACUGGUUGCCUGGGAGAAGAGGCCGAUCCCCACCUGGCUACAGCCUGCUUUCAGGUAGCUGUGGGGAGCGAUAAGGUUUCCCCUGAGUCUUCUAUUCUUCAGGCUAAACAACCCCUGCUCCCUCAGCUACUCCUGGUUACACUUGUACUGCAGACCCUUCACUGGCUUCAUUUCACUUCUGUGGCCUUGCCCACCACUUCAGUGUCCUUCCUGAAUUGAGAGGCCCAUAACUGGACAGAGCAGUUGAGGUGGGUUCACCAGUGCUGAGUACAAUGGCACAAUCCUUUCCCUAUUCCUGCUGGCUACACUGUUUCUGAUCCAGGCCAGGAUGCCGCUGGUCUUCUGGGCCACCUGGGCAAACUGUUGGCUCAUGUGUUGCUGGCUCAUGUUCAACCAGCACCCCCAGAUCAUCUUCCACUGGUGAAAGGAAAAGGACCUGAGGGUCCCUUUCCCCUUCCCUCCUCAGUGUUGUCCACACAAUUGGAUUUGUUACCUGGUAUGCAACAGGACAAUAAUUGCACACUCAAGAGAGAGAAAAUGAUUAUUUAUUUCAGAGUUGCACAAGCCUGGGUGGUAUUCCACAAAUCAAGUAUGCCCCUCUGGACUUUCUGUGCCAUUAUUGCUACAUAGAAGUUUGGAGUUAGUUACUUUCCAAUAGCCCCUCUAUUAUGAUUGAUUAGUAACUUCCAUACAAGUUAUGUAACCCAAGCUAACUUCUAUCCAAUGCUCCAGGGAGGGGUCUUUCACCCCCUGUAUAUUUUUGACCUAUAGGCACAAAUUUUAAUAUUAUAAUGAGGAUAGUUCAGGUAUAGGAUACAUGGACCUUGAGUACUUGCCAAGUUAGCAGUGUUUACAUAGAUGUACACCAACAUCUUCCCUUGUUAUGUUCUUAAAGCCUUUUAGUUCCUGGAUGUCCUUGACUAAAGGAUGCUUGCUGCUGCCUGUUCCCCUGAUUAUGUCUCCUUUCCUGAUGGCUUGAACCAAAGACUUAUCUUGAUUUAAAAUAAUCUUGACAUAUUCAAUGUUGUACACCAUUGGCAUGUGACAGGAAGGAUGACAGGAAGGUAGUGGGGUUGUUGAGUUGUUGUAGCAUUUUGGAGGAAGCAUUAAAUGAGGACUUCUGGCUACAAAGGGCUCAGCUAAUUGCUCUUACAGCUCUGUAGGCUGUUUUUAGUUUGCAAUAUUGCUCCAAAAUUUUAUUCAAAACAAUUUGAACAAUUCUCUGUGAAAAAGUAAAUAAGCAUACUGUGAAAAUAUCACAAGCUUCAGUCUGCCAAGAUAGGGCUUGCUGAAUCACUGCAAAAGAGGAAAGAAUUUCGAAUUCCAAAGGGCUGUAUCUGGAGAGCUGUAUUGACUUUUCCUCGUGAAUUGAAAGUCUGGGUUUGCUUUAAAGUUUUCAAUUUUUAAUGCCUACAUGUCAUCAUGAACUGAGCUACAGGAUAGGUUGCAUUUAAGGAAGAAGUGUUUCUCCUUAACUGACUUAGAUGUCUUAUUUUGUGGAAAUGGUUAUGUAGUGGUUUAAUUAAAAAUACCUCUAUAGAGCAAAAACUUAAGUGAUUAAGGAAAUGAAGUCAGAAAAAUGAAGUCCAGUGCCCUUUUGGUCUUCACCCAUUGUUAGAAUGGAAGUGGUUUUCCUUGCUUUCCUGGUUAGGCCACACAAUGUUAUCUUGUGAGUUGGCAAGAAUAAUUCGGUGACAGAGAGCAAGGGAACAACAGUGAAUGGGAUGGGGCUGACAGGCUCCCUGUUGUUUUGUGUUUGCGAGUAGAGGAGGAAAAGGGCAAAAAGUUUGUACUCUCCCUGCUGUGGGUGUCUUGGAGCAAUGGGUUUGUUACAAAACAGUGUCAGAAAGUUUAGAGACUGUAGUCACCACAUCUGUUUCCAGGCAUUAGUUGUAUCAGUCCCACGUGAGGUUAUCUGAUAAUGUAGGGUCAAAAACAGGAAGGGCAUGAUCUGUCACAUUAAGGCUUCUGGUCAGUGGUGAGGUGGGCCUGUCUCCUCUGAGUCUGUGAUAUCACAGUUCUUGACUUCAUGGUUUUAGAAGGGAAGGGUGAAUGGAAUCUCUGGCAAACAUAGGUUUGAGUUUGCACCUCAGCCAAGAUCGUCCAUUCUGCUAGGCUGUUUGUUCAAACUCUUCAAUGAAUCAGUUUGUUUUCUAAUGAAGGUGGUUGGGACUUGACCCAGGCUUGAGAUCUGCCCCUCAGAGACAGCAGGAAUUCAACUAAACCUGAGUAGCUGCAGCAGAAUUGUCUGUACUUUUUGCAGAAGAGCAAACAGUACAGACAAGAAUGCUCCAUCCUCCUUCAGAAGCAUUUAAGUUGCCAAGUGGACUAAGAGCUAGUCCAUGUUGAGCUGCUUAUAUACCAGUUGAGAGUGGGAGCUGAGGAGGGUUAGUCUCUAUAGGAUGGUGAUAGGAACAUUUCAUGCACUCAGAGGGAUCUCCAGAAGUCAUAUUCUGGUGUUGCUGGGUUAAUGACAGCCAAACCACAGACACAGGACUCCACACCUUAGGGCUUUGCAGGUGCUUCCACUCAUCCUGUGUGCAUAAGAUUAUAUGGACUCACCUGUGAGUCCUGGGCUCCUACAAAAGAAUUGUUCUAGGAAGUGUUGGAGACUCAGCACGGCUACAAAGUUUAAUAUAUUAUCUGGUCCUAGAGUGGCUAAAGGACUGAUUAAAAUAACUUAUUCUUGCCCUAUUUUAGAGGACAGAUGAACUGAGAGCCAUUUCACCUCUUUACCCUCUGACUGUAUUUGUGAACACAAAUAUUGGUGACAGCUGGAGAAAAAUCAGGAACAGGUUUGCACACAUGUAGAAUGGCUCACAAUAGUUUUUGGUUGUAGUGAACAGCUUCUCUGGUCUGAUACUUUUCUGGAACCUCGUGCUUUAAUUUUGGGUUAAUUUUCUCUGGUGCUACUGCUACAUCAAUGUAUCAUUGUUCGUACAAAGAUGACUUUAAAAAGGAGCCUUUUGUCUUCCCUACCUGUUUUUUUCCAGUCAUAUUCUUUCUACGAUAUUAAUGUGUGCUUGAAUCACAUUGGAAACAGGACAAAUCCUAUUCUUGGAGUAUGGGAUGGUAUGGACAAACAAGCAUAGGUGUAUACUUGCAGUACUCUCUGAGCACUAAGAGACAUACUGUGUCUCAGGCUGAUAACUGUGUGCAUUAGAAAAGACAGAAAAACACGGCUGUUAAUUUUGAAAAACAAAACAAGUACUAUUUUCAUUCUCACCAGGAAAGACAAUUUUGAAUUUAAACACCUCACUGAUGAUGCUGUGCAUUUAAUUUUCAGCAUUGGAAGAGGUGGUUUUAUUCCCAUUAGGGAGGAACUUCUAAAUGCCAUGUCAAUAGUAGUGUUGUUAAGAGUCAUUUGGGGUUUGGUAGUAGCUGCUUUUGGCAAGAUGCAACAAAAAUCUCAAGGUGAAUCAUACCAGUGUCUAUAAAUCACAGUAUUGCACCUGCACUUUUUGUAUAAUAAAUUUAUUUGUGCCUUUAUAAAGCAGUGAAUUAUUAUUUCUUCAAAGUCAAGUUCCACUAAAGCACAAAGGGCAGUAUCUCCCAUUGAGUUUAAUUAUAUUCUGUGCAGUUAAGGUUAAUAUAUAGUGACAUUUCCUAUUCAGAGUAAUAUAAGAACUGUGCCCUUAACACCAUGCAAUACAGAGAGAGCUCAGAGUUAUUGACACAGAAAGGCAAUAACAGUAGAAUCUUACUGGCCUGGCACAAUAAAUCCCCUGAACCAUCUUAGGUUGGUCCCUGCUAUAAGUUAUAAGCAAACUACUGGAGAGCUCUGGCUUAAGUUCAUUAGAAAUGCAGCUUGAAGAAGGAUGGUGAAGAGAUAUUUUGCCAUUUCGCAAUAUCAUGCUAUGUGUUCUGCUAGAGCACAUCAUUGCACUUCUCUGACCCAGGCAAGGCACAGCACUUCCAGGGAGAUGUGCCUGCAUGUGCCAAAAUUCCCAGUCAUUACUGGUCAGUGAACUAAUCCUGGGAAUAAAAUAAAUUAUUUGUUAGAAAAGCAUUAAUUACUAUCUAGGCUUGUCAAUGGAAGCUAGAGUAAAUCUAUGUUUUUGUUUCACUAGAGUCAUGCAACUGUUCUUAUGCUACAGUAAGCAGCUCUGGAUUACAAAAUCAUUCUGUCUUCUGAGAUUCCUCAGCUGCGAAAAUGAGGAAAAUUCCUGAGCUGAGUAAUUACAGAGUAUAAAAUCUAAGGGUGAAACUUAAAGUAAAUUAAUAAUAAUUUUCCUUUACACAUACAUGCUCUCCUUACUAACUUAAAUAGUAUUUUGCAUUUAGUAAUAGAUUAUACUUUGAAUAUAUGAGUGCCCACAAUAGGGUUGUCAGUUGUUGUUCUUUAAACAAGUUUGUUAAACUUUAACUACAGCUAAAGGUAGCGUAUCAAUUGCUAAUUUUUUCUUGCUUUAGGUAGCAUGCAACUUGCUAAAAGUCCACUGCUUGGCAUGAAAUUUUACAUGUUGAGGAUGGAAGUUGAGGGAGUUUAUACCACCAAAUAUGAUCUAAGAAAAAAGAGCUUUUUCUAGGGUGUUUGUGUGUGUCUUAUUGGAAUGGUGAGGGAGUAAGGACCUGAUGGAAGGGAAGGAAACAGUAAGUAUGAAGGCAAGACUGAAACUGUUGGAAGUGGAAAACCUUAACAUGGGAGCAGUAGGGAUCGGAUACUGGAAUUAGGUGAGGAAGGAAAUUAAAUUCUCAAAGAGAAAUGAAGGAGAAUGAGUUCAAGGCAAUGGAACAAGUACAUAUAGACAAGCAAUCUAUAUGAGAGAAUAGACGUGGAGGCCAGUGAGGAAACCAGAAGAAUGAGAGCACAUUGGUAGAGCAGACAAAAUCAAACAGAGUCAAAUCUUGAUUCUGAGAAAAGGGACAAGCAAUGAUGGGAAGGGGAGCACUGACAGAGGAACCACUGGGAUUUGAACAGAAGCUUAGAGAAAGUUAAAACUCACAGGCACAGAGACAUAAGCAUUUCAGUGACUUUUUUUUUUUUUUCCAUUUCCAAUAGUUAUGUUCUAGGGUAAGUAAAACUAAGAAAAUAUUCUGACUUUUUAAUUUAGUAAAAGAGAUUUUCUUGUCUUUUCUGUGUCCUAUAAAGGAACAAAAGAGAAUUCCAUUUGGUUGCAGAAACCCACCUUUAAAGAGUUUUCAGGCUCUGAGUUGUUGCUGUGGAAUAAUGGGCAUCCAACAUAGCUGCUUCUUAAAACCAUUCUGUUUUACUUCUUAAUUCAGCCUGAGAUUUCCUAGAGGCUGGACUGGAAUAUGGCUCCUGGGAAAAUACCUAAUUUUGCCUGGAAGACUCCAAGCAAUGAUGACUUACUAUCUCCUCAGGGGGAUCUCUACUCCUCUCCACAAUCUGUUUAUCAUGUGACCAUCACUUACAAGAGCAGUAUGCAAUGGCAGAUAUACAAGAUGCCCAUCCACAUCUGGAAAUUGGAAAUGGAAGACUUAUACAAGGGCAGAGGCAUAAAAGACAAGCAAGUGAACAGAACACCAGUGGUAACAAGAGAUCAAAGGUCCUUCCUGAACAGCUACCCCACAGACACUCUAAGAGAAACUUGGAUUUCAGCCUAAUGUCUCUAGGAAUAUGCGUAUGACAAGGUAUUAGAGGGCAUUACAUACUUGCUGCACUUAGGAAGGUGUGGAAGGAAUGGGAGGGAAGGUAUGGAGUCUGUGGAUUUGGCUUCAAGCAGAGUAACUUUGUGCUAGCAAGCAGCCACUGAUUUUCAACAUCCCUCACAUCUGCAGUUUCAUUUUUCACUUGAGACUCUCCCAGCUUCUCUGGUGUUUCCAGCUGCUGCAUUAGUCUGUGCCAUUAUAAUGCCUGCAGGAUCUAAGAAAUAAUCUAUGACAAUGUUCUCCAGGCUGCUGUGUUUUGCUAACCCACGGGGAAACACUGACAACACAGUACAGCGCUCUCGGUUAUUUUGCUCCGCAGGGGAAGGCUGAAAUGAUUUUAAGGGUAGAAAUAUUCUAGAAACUUUGUAAGCACUCUUCAAAGAGGUGGAGUGACUGUGAUCGUUGUUCUGACUUUUAACUUGGGAAGGAGGACUUAAAUGAUGUGCUACUGCCUGCAUAUAUUUUAGGAAUGUGUAUUAUUACCCUUAUUCCUCACCAGUGUGUGUAAUGGUGCUGAUCACUGACACCAGCCAUACAAAAUGUGACAAGCCUACCUCCUGCCUUGGAGCAGCCAGCUGAAAUAAAGCACAAAUCCAAAGGACUCAUUAUAUGAAAUCUUGUUCUAGAGGGAAUAGCUUUAGAAUGGAAGUAGUUUUAAAUUAAACACUCAGAAAAUAUAAUUGCUAUCCUGCAUCCAGUAUUAGAUAUAAAUUCUACAUAAAUUUAGCUAUGCUUCUUUUCUAUAAGUUACUGGUUUUAUGGGUUAAAACUUAGAUCAAAUUCAUAUAAUGAAUUCACAUGGUAAAAACCAAUACAGUUACACUAAGUUUAAACACUGCACUAUCUUCCCCCAUUUUGCCCAAGGUUUUUCAGAACAUUCAUCAAUAUUCUCCCUAAACUCUGCUAGUGUUUUAUAGUCAUUUUAGUUCUCCACUUACUAUAACAAACAACAGAAAAGGGACCAGAAGACACGACAGGACAUAAAUGUAGAAUUGGGAGAACAUGCUGGGAAAAAGUUCUAUUUCCUAAGGUUAUCAGUCAAGGACUUAUUGAAAUAUGUGGUGUCAUUAUAUGCAUUUUUCCAGCAUGAAUUUAGCAAAUCAAUAAAUUCAUAAUUUCUUAAACUAUGCGAACUUGCAGCACUCAAUGUUUUAUUGAAAACAUUUUUACAGUUUCUCAAUGUCAUGCUAUGUUUGCUUGCAUUUAACCUGCCAUCUGUUCCAUUUUCGACUUCUUGGCGAGUACAACACCGUGAUUAAUUGCUCUCUUCCACCUCACUCAUGGUUGUAUGUACUUCAGUUGUAGCUACUUAGCUGUCGCUAACAUGAAGUUGUUUUCUCCCUUGACCAUCCUUUUGACCCUCUGUAGUUUUAUCAUUCACUUUGAAAAGGGAAACCAAAAAUGAACUAUUUUUAUGGUACAGGCAUAAUAAUAUUUAGAUCUUAAAGCAAUGAUAUGUUUUGUUCCAAGUAGUUUUCUUAGCAAUUCCUGUCUUAUUUGCUUUUUGACAUCUGCUGAUUCUGUGAUGUUCUUGUUUAUGUUUUUGUCUCUUAUAUGUGGAGUAUCUCAUUCCUAGCAUUUAAUUCAGAGCUCAGCUUUGCUUUCCUCUUCCACACAAGGCUAUUUACUGAUAUUUAGCUUUAAAAAAACCGAAACAGCAAAACCAACAACUAUUGCUUAUAUAUGAGGAGGGUCUCUGUACCUUGUUAAAACUUUCCAUUUUUAGUACUCUGAAUAACCUGGUGUAUCAAAACACUAAUCUCUGUCAACCAUAAAGAGCUAAGGAGUGCAGAUUGCUCCUGGCUGUCACUCACAACUUCCCCUCACUUAAAACUGAUGUACAUUGACUGGCUUGAAUGGGAAGUGGGCUCCAGAAGAUGUUUACUCCAACGUUCUGCUCACAGUAGGUGAUGCCAGAGAUGAGUAGUCAGGGUCUUGACCAACUAGGUUUAGAAUACCUCCAACUGUGCAGGUUGGGUGGGUUUGUUUUGCUUUUUUUAACUUGGCUGGGUUUUUAACUACUCCUCCAACAACCUCUCCAGGGCUCUAUUCCAGUCAAUGAUCUCCCUAACGAUUUAAAAAACCAAACAACCUCCCAAAAACAUAAUAACUCCCCCACAACAUCUAACUUAUUAAUUAUCUUGUUAGAAUUUUCCAUAUUCUGACUUCUCGCUGUUGCAUUUCAUUCUUCAAUUCUGUUUCUUGUAUUUUAAUCAUGUGGGGACAUCCCACUACCUUAUGGCAGUGCAUAUAUACUUGUAGUGUUCGAGAUCUCGUCCAUCACAUGGAGAACAGAAUUUGGCUUUCCUUUGCCAACACUAGAACAAGUAUGUCCUGCAUGAAGAAACAAGCCACUGCCUUUUCCCCAUGUCCCUACCACUCUAAGUAGUGGUAAUUGCUCCUUCUACCUGUUACAACUGCCAUUUGGCUGCAAGUUCUCAGACUGCAAAGCAACCAAUGCUAAGGGACAGAAAGCACAUGCAAGUCUGUAAAAGCAUGGCUGGGAUGUGAGAAUUCUAAAUUAUCUUUUAAGUAAAUGCUAUUUUACUACACCAACCAUAACUAUUUCUCCAAAUAAUAGAGUUUCUAAUGUGACUGACUGAAGUAUUUAGAGGGCACUAGGAAAAUGUUACCUCAAAUUCUAUGUUUAAUGUAGUAUUAAUCUAUACAGAAACAGUUUACACUAGAGAUGUAAAAUAAAUCUGAGCUUCUGUAAAAACCUUUUCAUGUCAUUGACCAAAUUCUUUAACAAAGCUAUAGCAAAGAUAGGGGCAUAUAUACUCGCACUUAGGUGAAUGCUG